rnacentral:lncRNA from 1 species
GGGAGCACACAGGCCUGCAAGUACUAUUGCAUUCCCAGCUAGCCCAGGAAGUAUUAAGCUGCUGUACUUGAAAUAUCCCCACAGCUUCAUUGCCCAGGUUUCUUCUCAGUUGACUCACCACUCCAGAGCAGGCUGUCAAGUCGGAGACUGAGUGCCUGAGCAGGCGUGGACCAUGAAGGAGAGGAAUCUAACACACGGAGGUUGGAGCUGGCCAGUCUGAGGAAGUCAGAGAUGGCAGGAAGAAAUGGUCUCAUUCCAAAAGGCGAUGUUUGGUUUUGCCUCCUGAACUGGUGCUGGAGAAGAGACAUGGCCCAUGAAACAGUGGUGGACCUUACCAAGCAGAACUAGAAGAUAUUUGUCAGAGUUCCAGACAUUGGCGAACAACUCCCCAGAUUCCCU